UUGGUUUAUCCUAAGUCAAACUUGUUCAACUUUGACCAUAUUUAUAGAAAAAUAUUACAAUAACUAUAUUAUCAAACAUAUACACUAUCAAAACAUAUUUCAUGGUGCAUUCAACUAAGAAAAUUUGAUAUUAUAAAUAUUGUUAUAUUUUUCUAUAAACUUAGUCAAAGUUGAACAAAUUUGACUUAGGAUAAACCAAA
rnacentral:pre_miRNA from 1 species